CCAGGACCCAGGAAGCAGAAGGGCAGCAAAGCUGCAUAACAGGACAUGGAAAGUUCAAAGCUGACCAAGAAAAGAGCUGGUCGGAAGAGGCAGAGGAGCAGAUCUCCAGCCCUGCCCAAAAGGAACAUCGUGGGCUGCAGAAUUUCUCAUAAGUGGAAAGAAGGAGAUGAGUCUAUCACACAGUAAAAUGGAACUGUGCUGGAUCAGGUGCCAGUAAACCCUUUCCUGUACCUGGUUAAAUAUGAUGGGAUUGACUCUGUGCAUGCUCUGGAACUUUACAAAGAUAAGAGGGUAUUGUCCCUAAAAGUUAUCGCCAAGAGGGUGGUAUCAUCCGGAGUCACUGAUUCCAGCUUUGUUGAUGCCAUAGUGGGCAAAGAAGUUAAUCAUCUAUUUGAGGGUGAGCAUGGCUCUAAGGAAGAGUAGAGGGGGAUGGUCCUGAGCCAAGCGCCUAUCUUGGAUAACAGCUUUUAUAUUACUUAUGAGAGAGAUCCCAUAUUAUACACGUACCAGCUUCUGGAUGACUUUAAAGAGGGUGACCUACAAAUCAUGGAGGUGUUCAGUGAUCUCCCUUCUUUAGACAUCGACCUGGAACUUGUGGAUGGCCUGAUAGGAAAACACGUGGAAUACACCAAAGAUGACCGCUCCAAGAGGGAUGGCCUGAUCAUUAACCAGAUUGAAACCAAACCUAGAGUGUACCUCAUCAAGUAUGAAGAUGAUGUCCAUAUACAUGUCACUCACUUGGAGAAAGAGUUCUAAUUAUUUAUCACGGCAUUGUCAC